rnacentral:misc_RNA from 1 species
UUCGGUCCCGUCGACACAGCUCGUCCGCGCGGUCCGUCCGUCUCGCGCUCGUCACGUCAAGAUCACGCACACACGUAUAACACGUACCUAUACGUAUAACACCGGCACCGCCGCGGGCCGCAGAUCCGCUAGUGAGGACGAAUUUUUUUUCUUUUUCUUAAACCUCCCCACCGCGACGUUUGGAGAUUGACCGGCCGCCGAAGAUGCACUCGGAAAAACGUCCGCCGAGGUCGUUUUCCGCCGCACGUCCGCUGCACCGCUACGACCCGCGUCCGCCGGAAAACGUCGGAUCAUGUAAUCAUCGUUAUGGACAGUAAUGAUGCCAUCCCUAAAUCCCUAAAUACAGUGAAAUUGCAGAGGCUUUAUCAUUUUUGCAACACGAUUACGGACUGCCACUAUAUGAAAAAUAAUAAUAUUUCGUACCUACCCAAAACUGACACGAUUGUUGACGAAAUUAAGUGACACGUUAACAAUUGUUGCGACGAAAUCUACAGAGUCCAUUGAUUUUCAAUUUUGUCUUCCGGACGACGUCUCAAACGAACAUAUAUGUAUGUUGUAUUUCACGGACAACUUUGGAAUGGCUCAAGUUAUCAGAACAUAUUACAUUAUCAGCACUCGUAAUCAAAUCAGAAAAUCAAGAAAAUCGCCGUCCAAUGAAUAUGUUUUUAAAAAUAAACCAUUGCAUUUAUGUCACAAUAAAGAAUUAGAGAUUUCUUUUAAAUUUUCAUUUUAAUAUUAUGUUGUCACGAUUUCACUGAACCCGUGUAGUAUCGUGGAAACUGUCAAAAUCGAGUCAACCUACAUUCGACGAGCUUACGCUGUUUAUUCCAGCCGGAGAACGUGCUAACUGAAGUUACAUCAACAUCGACAAGACUAGAACAUGUCAAAAAAAAAAAAAAUAAUA